rnacentral:rRNA from 1 species
AGCAGCCGCGGUAAUUCCAGCUCCAAUAGCGUAUAUUAAAGUUGUUGCAGUUAAAAAGCUCGUAGUUGAAUUUCGGGAUCAAUUUAUCGGUCGUGCCAAUGGUAUGAACUGGUACAAUUGGUUUCUCCCUUCUGACGAAACAUGAUGUCAUUAAUUUGGUGUCGUGGGGAAUCAGGACUGUUACUUUGAAAAAAUUAGAGUGUUUAAAGCAGGCUCGCGCUUGAAUACAUAAGCAUGGAAUAAUGAAAUAGGACGUUUGAUUCUAUUUUGUUGGUUUCUAGGAUUGACGUAAUGAUUAAUAGGGAUAGUUGGGGGCAUUAGUAUUCAAUUGUCAGAGGUGAAAUUCUUGGAUUUAUUGAAGACUAACUACUGCGAAAGCAUUUGCCAAGGGUGUUUUCAUUAAUCAAGAACGAAAGUUAGGGGAUCGAAGACGAUCAGAUACCGUCGUAGUCUUAACCAUAAACUAUGCCGACUAGGGAUCGGAUGAUGUUAAUUUUUUAAUGACUCA